rnacentral:rRNA from 1 species
UACGUGGGGAGCAAGCGUUGUCCGGAAUCAUUGGGCGUAAAGCGCGCGUAGGUGGCCUCGUAAGUCCGCUGUGAAAGUCAAAGGCUCAACCUUUGAAAGCCGGUGGAUACUGCAGGGCUAGAGUACGGAAGAGGCGAGUGGAAUUCCUGGUGUAGCGGUGGAAUGCGCAGAUAUCAGGAGGAACACCAAUAGCGAAGGCAGCUCGCUGGGACGUUACUGACACUGAGGCGCGAAAGCGUGGGGAGCGAACAGG